GUCUGCAAUCAAAAUCCACUAAAAAAAGGAUUGAAAC
rnacentral:other from 1 species